rnacentral:rRNA from 1 species
AGCGAACGCUGGCGGCAGGCCUAACACAUGCAAGUCGAACGAACCUUUCGGGGUUAGUGGCGGGCGGGUGAGUAACACGUGGGAACGUGCCUUUAGGUUCGGAAUAACUCGGGGAAACUUGUGCUAAUACCGAAUGUGCCCUUCGGGGGAAAGAUUAAUCGCCUUUAGAGCGGCCCGCGUCUGAUUAGCUAGUUGGUUGAGGUAAUGGCUCACCAAGGCGACGAUCAGUAGCUGGUCUGAGAGGAUGAUCAGCCACAUUGGGACUGAGACACGGCCCAAACUCCUACGGGAGGCAGCAGUGGGGAAUCUUGCGCAAUGGGCGAAAGCCUGACGCAGCCAUGCCGCGUGAAUGAUGAAGGUCUUAGGAUUGUAAAAUUCUUUCACCGGGGACGAUAAUGACGGUACCCGGAGAAGAAGCCCCGGCUAACUUCGUG